GACGAACGCUGGCGGCGUGCUUAACACAUGCAAGUCGAACGGUAAGGCCCUUCGGGGUACACGAGUGGCGAACGGGUGAGUAACACGUGGGUGAUCUGCCCUGCACUUCGGGAUAAGCCUGGGAAACUGGGUCUAAUACCGGAUAGGACCACUGCCUGCAUGGGUGGGGGGGGAAAGCUUUUGCGGUGUGGGAUGGGCCCGCGGCCUAUCAGCUUGUUGGUGGGGUGAUGGCCUACCAAGGCGACGACGGGUAGCCGGGCUGAGAGGGUGACCGGCCACAGUGGGACUGGGAUACGGCCCAGACUCCUACGGGAGGCGGCAGGGGGGAAUAUUGCACAAUGGGCGCAAGCCUGUUGCAGCGACGCCGCGUGGGGGAUGACGGCCUUCGGGUUGUAAACCUCUUUCAGCACCGACGAAGCGCAAGUGACGGUAGGUGCAGAAGAAGGACCGGCCAACUACGUGCCAGCCGCCGCCGUAA
rnacentral:rRNA from 1 species